CUGUAUGAAGUUGGAAUCGCUAGUAAUCGCGGAUCAGCAUGCCGCGGUGAAUACGUUCCCGGGCCUUGUACACACCGCCCGUCACACCAUGAGAGUCGGGAACACCCGAAGUCCGUAGUCUAACCGAAAGGGGGCGCGGCCGAAGGUGGGUUCGAUAAUUGGGGUGAAGUCGUAACAAGGUAGC
rnacentral:rRNA from 1 species